rnacentral:rRNA from 1 species
UGGGGAAUAUUGCACAAUGGGCGCAAGCCUGAUGCAGCAACGCCGCGUGAGGGAUGACGGCCUUCGGGUUGUAAACCUCUUUUAGUAGGGAAGAAGCGUAAGUGACGGUACCUGCAGAAAAAGCACCGGCUAACUACGUG